UGUUGAUGUUGUACAGAAGGAAAGUUCGGAAGAGAGUGUUGCGAAAAGGAGAAUCAUGAUUAGCUUUGGAUGGAAUUUCUGUUUUGGCAGAAGAUGAAGACAUUUUACGACCCGGUACUGCGUUGCAUGCAGUGGACUGUGCCCGAGACGAUUCCCUAAGCGCCGGCGAGUUGUCAGCUUGUAAAAAUGAAAUUGUGCCUGCAAAGUUUGAAGUGACUAUGGAAAUGAUCAAUAUUGAACU